UAGCUUUUUCAUGAUUCGGUGGAUGGUGGUGCAUGGCCGUUCUUAGUUCGUGGAGCGAUUUGUCUGGUUUAUUCCGAUAACGAGCGAGACUCUAGCCUACUAAAUAGUUGGCUCAUUGCUUCUGUGGGCACAACUUCUUAGAGGGAUUUUCGGUGUUCAGCCGCACGAAAUUGAGCAAUAACAGGUCUGUGAUGCCCUUAGAUGUCCGGGGCUGCACGCGCGCUACACUGGCAAAAUCAGCGUGCUUGUCCUUCCCCGAAAGGGGUUGGUAAACCGGUGAAAAUUUGCCGUGAUUGGGAUCGGACAUUGCAAUUAUUGUCCGUGAACGAGGAAUUCCUUGUAGGGGCGAGUCAUCAACUCGCUCU
rnacentral:rRNA from 1 species